rfam:Dipodomys ordii contig_19638, whole genome shotgun sequence.
GGUGGCUCAGUGGUAGAGCGCUUGCCUUUCAUGCUCGAGGCCCUGGGUUCGAUUCCUCAGCACCA